UUAUGACAUACAUAUACUGAAAUUGGAAUGAUGCAGAGAAGAACAGCAUGGCCCCUGUGCAAGGAUGACAUGCAAAUUUGUGGCAUGUUUCCCAAACUU
rnacentral:snRNA from 1 species